AUUGAACGCUGGCGGCAUGCCUUACACAUGCGAGUCGAACGGUAACAGGUCUUCGGAUGCUGACGAGUGGCGAACGGGUGAGUAAUACAUCGGAACGUGCCCGAUCGUGGGGGAUAACGGAGCGAAAGCUUUGCUAAUACCGCAUACGAUCUACGGAUGAAAGCAGGGGACCGCAAGGCCUUGCGCGGACGGAGCGGCCGAUGGCAGAUUAGGUAGUUGGUGGGAUAAAAGCUUACCAAGCCGACGAUCUGUAGCUGGUCUAAGAGGACGACCAGCCACACUGGGACUGAGACACGGCCCAGACUCCUACGGGAGGCAGCAGUGGGGAAUUUUGGACAAUGGGCGAAAGCCUGAUCCAGCCAUGCCGCGUGCAGGAUGAAGGCCUUCGGGUUGUAAACUGCUUUUGUACGGAACGAAAAGACUCUUUCUAAUAAAGAGGGUCCAUGACGGUACCGUAAGAAUAAGCACCGGCUAACUACGUG
rnacentral:rRNA from 1 species